rnacentral:rRNA from 1 species
AUACGGAGGGAGCAAGCGUUAUUCGGAAUCACUGGGCGUAAAGGACGCGUAGGCGGGUUUGUAAGUCAGGUGUGAAAUCCUACAGCUCAACUGUAGAACUGCACUUGAAACUACAGACCUAGAGUAUGGAAGGGGCAGAUGGAAUUAGUGGUGUAGGGGUAAAAUCCGUAGAUAUCACUAGGAAUACCGAAAGCGAAGGCGAUCUGCUGGGACAUUACUGACGCUGAGGCGUGAAAGCGUGGGGAGCAAACGGGAUUAGAAACCCUAGUAGUCC